AUUUUUCCUUCAAGCUGAUGGACAGACAAACGUACUUCAACUCCGUCUAUUUCAGCUUCGAUUCCUUAUUUUUCUCCUUCGAAGUGGUGAACAGACUUUGAGAUCUUAUUUUUUAGCUUCAUUUCCUUAUACCUCAGCUUCGUCAACUCCUAUUUCUCCUUCAAACUGGUGGACAGACAAACUUACUUCAACUCCGUCUAUUUCAGCUUCGAUUCCUUACAUUUCUCCGUCAAAGUGGUGAACAGACUUUGAUUCCUUAUUUUUUCAACUUCAAUUCCUUAUACUUCAGCUUCGUCAACUCCUAUUUUUUCUUCAAACUGAUGGAUAGACAAACUUACUUCAACUCCGUAUAUUUCAGCUUCGAUUCCUUAUUUUUCUCCUUCGAAGUGGUGAACAGACUUUGAGAUCUUAUUUUUUAGCUUCAUUUCCUUAUACUUCAGCUUCGUCAACUCCUAUUUCUCCUUCAAACUGGUGGACAGAUAAACUUACUUCAACUCCUAUUUCGGCUUCAACUCCUUAUGUUUUCACCUUCAGACUUCAACCAACACCAACGCCAUCUAUCGGAAACUGCCCUCAUCAUCUUUUUGUAAUCGUAUGCUCUUUCCUUCUAUUUCAGCUUCAUCUCCUUCUGUUUCUCCUUCAGACUUCAACUACAGUAUUUGAGCUUCAACUCCUUCUAUUCCUCCUCCAGACUAAACCACCGUCUUUAUCCUCUUGUAAUCGCACGUAUGGUCUUUAAAACAUACACGUAAGACCUCCAGUUCAAGACCUUUACUAUUUUUAUAACGUUCAAGUGUCUCGGUCAAGAAAACGAUGAUCUCGGCAACAUUUUUCAACGUUUUCUCCCUCUGUCUCCAACCCGUUUAUCGUGUUCGUCUCAUGAGGGGGAACUGCGUCAUUAGGCUUUUAGUACUUAUGAUUAGUCCAUUGUAAGGUUGGUGGGGGUGAAAAGUGUAUUGAUUGUAUGCUAUUUUUUUUUCAUCAUUUUUGAAGUGGUAGUGAAGAGUGUGAACUUCGUUACGAUACCGAGUCUAUUGUCGACUGCUUGUCAUUUAAUACAUUUACCGACAUACAUCUCUUGCAAAUUUUUCACGUCAUUUCUUCAAUGAACGAACAUUUAUGAAGGGCACUGUUCAUGCCACAGCCCAAAGUAAAAUAACCGUGCGUACCUAAAACGCGGCUGGAUAGCAGAGUCCCCCAUCACCGUAACACAGACUGCAGCGCCAUCUCUUGCAAACCUUACUAAUUGUUUCUUCUAUGGACGAAAAUAUAUGAAGAGUACACAUAACACAGCGUAAAGUAGUAGCGUAGCGUAUAUACCUUAAACGCAGAUGAAUACAAGAGUUCGCCAUCACAAGACAGACUGGGGGCGCCAUCUCUCGCAAAUCUUUCCAACUCAGCGACUCGCGAAAUGGAAACACAGCAACGCCUCGCCGGCCCACGCGCGACACACGUUCCGGGUCGCUGCCUGGCGCGGCCUCGAGCUCCAUCGGCUGUGUGGGAAACGUGGGUUGAGCGGGAUGCUGGGGCGUGCGUGUGUGUGCUUGUAGGAAGGGAGGCUUGCUGAGGUUAGGUUUGUUAGUGUGUUGUUUGAAGUGGAGUGUAAAGGUCAGCUGGGGGUGGAAAAGGUUAGGUUAGGUUAGGUUGGAUUGAAGUGGAGUGUAAAGGUCAGCUGGGGUUGGAUUAGGUUAGGUUGAAGUGGAGUGUAAAGGUCAGUUGGGGGCUGGAAAAGGUUAGGUUGGAUUGAAGUGGAGUGUAAAGGUCAGCUGGGGUUGGAUUAGGUUAGGUUGAAGUGGAGUGUAAAGGUCAGUUGGGGGUUGGAAAAGGUUAGGUUAGGUUAGGUUGAAGUGGAGUGUAAAGGUCAGUUGGGAUUGUAAAAGGUUUGGUUAGGUUAGUUUGAAGAUGGAGUUUGUAAAGGUCAGUUGAGAUUGGAGAAGGUUAUGUUAGGUUAGUUUGAAGUUGGAGUUUGUAAAGGUCAGUUGGGCCUGAAAGAGGUUAGGUUAGGUUAGUUUGAAGUUGGAGUUUGUAAAGAUCAAUUGAGAUUGGAAAAGGUUAUGUUUGGUUAGUUUGAGGUUGCAGUUUGGAAAGGUCACCUGGGGUUGGAAAAGGUUAGGUUAGUUUGGAGUUGGAGUUUGUAAAGGUCAAUUGGGCAUGGAAAAGGUUAGGUUAGUUUGGAGUUGAAGUUUGGAAAGGUCAUUUUGGGUUAGAAAAGGUUAGGUUAGAUUAGUUUGGAGUUGGAGUUUGGAAAGGUCAGCUGGGGUUGGAAAAGGUUGGGUAGGUUAGGUUAUUGUUAGGUAAGGUCAGCGUUAGUUUGUAGGGUAAGUGGAGUUGAAGUGGGUUUGAAGCGAAGUUUUGAGUGGACUGCUUUUCAUUAAUAUGUGUGUGUGUGUGUGUGUGUGUGUGUGUGUGUGUGUGUGUGUGUGUGUGUGUGUGUGUGUGUGUGUGUGAUUAGCUACUUUAACUAACCUUUAUUAAAGUUAGUAAAUAUAUUUAGGCUUGUUUACCGAACGUGUGUGUGUGUGUGUGUGUGUGUGUGUGUGUGUGUGUGUGUGUGUGUGUGUGUGU